rnacentral:rRNA from 1 species
CACGUAGGAGGCGAGCGUUGUCCGGAAUCAUUGGGCGUAAAGAGCGCGCAGGCGGCUUGGCAAGUCGGGUGUGAAAUCCCCGGGGCUCAACCCCGGGACUGCAUUCGAUACUGUCAGGCUAGAGGUAGGUAGGGGAGAUCGGAAUUCCUGGUGUAGCGGUGAAAUGCGCAGAUAUCAGGAGGAACACCGGUGGCGAAGGCGGAUCUCUGGGCCUUACCUGACGCUCAGGCGCGAAAGCUAGGGGAGCGAACAGG